AACAUACUCCCUCCGUCCCGAAUUAGUUGACUCAAAUUUCUCUAGAUGUAUCUAGACACAUUUUAGUGUAAGAUAAAUCCGUAUUUAGACAAAUCCAAGACAACUAACUUGGGACGGAGGUAAUAGUUG
rfam:Triticum aestivum genome assembly, contig: Triticum_aestivum_CS42_TGACv1_scaffold_404149_5BL